rnacentral:lncRNA from 1 species
GCGCACUGUACAGCGGCAUCAGCCGCUUGUAGGACAUGUCCAGCAGCUGGUCCAGGUCCACGCCACGGAAGUGCAACUGGACAGCACUGACCCAGAGACAGGGGUUAAAAUGGACCUUCCUUCCUAUCAAGCCAUGGACUAAUGAUUAAGGAGUGGGACCAUUUAUCAGACCUGUCUAGUCUAUGAAUUCCACCCCAAGGGCCACAGUUGUGCACGGGCAUUGAGCCAAUCCCUGGACUUCUGCUGGCACGUGGGAGGAAGGACUCUCUCUUUCCAUGAGGAUUGCUGAGAGGAAGCCUAGGGCUGCCAGCAAUCAUCCUGCCACCGCACGGGAGGUGCACACCUGAAUGAAGGUAACAGCCGCAGAGAGCAAAGCCCACAUGGAGGAGCCAGGACAGGAUGGGGACAACAAGGCUUGAGCCCCUAGAUCCGGGCAUGCCUGGCCUUUUAGAUAACCAAUUUCUGCGAAGAAGUGCUUCCUCUUUUGCACUGUUAAGUCAGCUGAAGAACCACUUGUAGAAGAAAAUUGGAUAAAUGUUAGCUGCCGUUCAUUUCUUUACUGGUUUUCAAAAUAAAGAUUGGUCCGAAGGUGAUCAAUGAGGAUCUCCCACACCCUUUUUCUUUUUUAGUAUCAUCAAUGGCUUUUCUGCUUCAUCAUUUUAGUCUCAGCAUGGGUUGUAACAUAUAUUAUAUGUUUCCAAAUGUUGAUGAUUUUUGUGUGUUUUUUUGGGGAGUGGUGGAGGGAUAUUUAAUUUAUCCCAUCUUUGGCCAGUGGGAGCCGCUUCUCUUCAGACUUGCUACCAAGGC